UACGAAGGGGGCUAGCGUUGCUCGGAAUCACUGGGCGUAAAGCGCACGUAGGCGGAUCGUUAAGUCGGGGGUGAAAUCCUGGAGCUCAACUCCAGAACUGCCUCCGAUACUGGCGAUCUUGGAGUCCGGGAGAGGUGAGUGGAACUCCGAGUGUAGAGGUGAAAUUCGUAGAUAUUCGGAAGAACACCAGUGGCGAAGGCGGGUCGUCUGGGCCGGA
rnacentral:rRNA from 1 species